UUUUUGGGACCGGUGCGGGAGCUGCCGACCAUUUGCCCUAGCAGGCGGAGAGAGGUCCUGGAGUGUCAGCCUAUGGUAUCUGAGGUCCAGGAGAGAUGACCUGCGCUGUUUUCCUCUGAGGAGAUAUCUGAAAAAUUUCAUCGGAUCACAAGCAAAGACCUCCUGGGGACCUUCAAUGCAUCCCUUGACAAAUUUGUGCCUGGCCUGCUGAAACUGUACUGGUCUAAGAAGGGAGCUCUUGGUGAGGAGAUGGAAGACCUCCUGGAUAAACUUGAUGAACAGGUGAGUGAAGUGCUCCUUUAUCUGACA